GACCGCCGCACAAGUGCCGGUGCUCUUUAUCGUCGGCCGCCACGUGCCUCAAGAUCUUAAGGGCGACGAUGGUCGCGGUGAGGUUGUCAAUGACGGAGCUCAGGAUGA
rnacentral:snRNA from 17 species